UCCCCCUACAUAUCUAAAUCGACGUGUUCUUUUUUGUUUUUUUUUAAAGAAUUACUAAAGGUGGUUUGUUUUCAAAUAAAAGUAGGUACUGUAUAUAGAAAGAAAAAGGAUAGGUUUAUUGGAUAGUUCAAAAGACGAGAAGAAGAAAAAACCCGUAUCGAUAGCGAUAUUGAUAUCUGAAAACGGGCAAAUUCGAGCACUCGCUUUGCCAACCAUGCAAGAAGCUCUUCAAAUAAUGCAGAAAUAGUGUGCGGAAUACUCCUAAUGCAGUAGCCCCAAAAAGACUGAGAUGUCGAUAUGUACUAGAAAAUAAAAAAAAUAUAUCUCUACCGGCACGUCAACUUUCAGGAACUCACACACACAAGUUUUGCUUUGGAAAUCAAGUACUUUAUUAUGUUACUACACAGCAAAACUAAAUUAGAACUUUCAUAUCACAAAGAGAAUACAUCAUACACAGAC